GAGCACUCCUACGGGAGGCAGCAGUGGGAAUAUUGCACAAUGGGGGAAACCUGAUGCAGCCAUGCCGCGUGUGUGAAGAAGGCCUUCGGGUUGUAAAGCACUUUCAGUAGGGAGGAAGGUAGUGUAGUUAACACCUGCACUAUUUGACUAGCUUGACACAGAAGAAGCACCGGCUAACUCCGUGCCAGCAGCCGCGGUAAUACGGAGGGUGCGAGCGUUAAUCGGAAUUACUGGGCGUAAAGCGCAUGCAGGUGGUUUGUUAAGUCAGAUGUGAAAGCCCGGGGCUCAACCUCGGAAUAGCAUUUGAAACUGGCAGACUAGAGUACUGUAGAGGGGUAGAAUUUCAGGUGUAGCGGUGAAAUGCGUAGAGAUCUGAAGGAAUACCGGUGGCGAAGGCGGCCCCCUGGACAGAUACUGACACUCAGAUGCGAAAGCGUGGGGAGCAAACAGGAUUAGAUACCCUGGUAG
rnacentral:rRNA from 1 species